GAUGAACGCUGGCGGCGUGCCUAACACAUGCAAGUCGAACGGAGUCGUUUUGGAAAUCUCUUCGGAGAUGGAAUUCUCGACUUAGUGGCGGACGGGUGAGUAACGCGUGAGCAAUCUGCCUUUAAGAGGGGGAUAACAGUCGGAAACGGCUGCUAAUACCGCAUAAAGCAUUAAAUUCGCAUGUUUUUGAUGCCAAAGGAGCAAUCCGCUUUUAGAUGAGCUCGCGUCUGAUUAGCUAGUUGGCGGGGUAACGGCCCACCAAGGCGACGAUCAGUAGCCGGGCUGAGAGGGUGAACGGCCACAUGGGGACUGAGACACGGCCCAGACUCCUACGGGAGGCAGCAGUGGGGAAUAUUGCGCAAUGGGGGAAACCCUGACGCAGCAACGCCGCGUGAUUGAAGAAGGCCUUCGGGUUGUAAAGAUCUUUAAUCAGGGACGAAACAAAUGACGGUACCUGAAGAAUAAGCUCCGGCUAACUACGUG
rnacentral:rRNA from 1 species